rnacentral:rRNA from 1 species
UACGUAGGGUGCGAGCGUUAAUCGGAUUUACUGGGCGUAAAGCGUGCGCAGGCGGCCCGUUAAGACAGGUGUGAAAUCCCUGGGCUCAACCUAGGAAUUGCGCUUGUGACUGGCGGGCUCGAGUACGGUAGAGGUGGGUGGAAUUCCUUGUGUAGCAGUGAAAUGCGUAGAUAUCAGGAGGAACACCGAUGGCGAAGGCAGCCUCCUGGGCCUGUACUGACGCUCAUGCACGAAAGCGUGGGGAGCAAACAGG